AUGUCUGCAGGUAUGCUGACGGGUCGUCCCGCGGAGGAGAUGCCCGGGUCUGCGGGUGAUCUUCUGCCAGAGCUCUCACAACUGCACAAACAAGUUCGGCAGGUGAUGCAGGGCAUUGCCCAAGCCUUGUGGCCAUCCGCCUCCCCGCCAGGAGGCCUGGGGGAGCUUAUAGAGAAGCUCAAGGGAGCGCGGCGGCGCUUCCGAUUAUGGAAGAUAUCAGCCUGCCGACAAGGUGCGAUGGAAGCCUGGGCCAUGGUGAAGACGCGAUAUACCAAGGCUGACCCGAACCACAUGGCCGAGGUCGGACCUGUGGGGCCUGAUGGGAAAGAGAUCCCCGUUAGUUUGGUGUAUGACCAAGUAGAAUUAGCCGCAAAGUAUUCCCAACAGGAUUGUAGGCUAGACAGCCUGUUGGAUGGUAUAGAAGAAGAAUUUAGUCAGUCUAAGUGA
rnacentral:rRNA from 1 species